rnacentral:lncRNA from 1 species
UUUGGGUUGGAACGGACCUUAAAGAUCAUCCAAUUCCACACACCAUCCCAUGGGCACGGACACCUUCCAUCAGAACAGGCUGCUCAGAGCUUCAUCCAGCCUGGCCUUGAGAGGUUCAUUGUCUGGCAGCAAAACAUAGAAGGGUAGCAGUAGCACUAUCACCCCCCAACAGCUCAAUAACAUCCACCACAUCACUGCACCCCCAAAACUGCCAAGAGCUGCCAGGCCCUUCUUUGUGCCAACACUCCCAGCCUUCCUACCCACUGGCUGAGAUUUUCAGGUCAAGCCAAGUGUGGACUUCAGUGAAAGGACGUUAAGCAAGAGUAACUUGUAAAUUGCUUCCAGCAACUUCAAGACAACAAGGGAACAAACAACUAUCAACAGGCAUUACACUCAUUUCUUCACACGAAAACAGUUAUGAGGCUGAAGGGAUCCUGACAGGCAAUUGGAAAGCAGUCCUUUUUAUGCUAAAUUUACUGUAUUUUAGUCCAAUUUUCCAUGAUUUAAAAUGUGCGAUGCAAUAAAGAGCUGGAAUGCCUUCUUUUGUCA